rnacentral:misc_RNA from 1 species
GGAAGAAGGAUCAUAUGCUCACCCUGACUUUUCCACUGCUUGAGUGUUUGUAUCUUCAAACCCUGACAACUUCUUUUGUCUGUCAAGUAUAUCAACACCAGAGUGGGAGCAUUCUCCUGGCAGCAAUGAUAAAUUUUCCCCAAAUCUCAUGACCUGAUCAGUAUUCUCUUAGCAGAAUCUCAUUCCAAUCUUCCUAGUACUUACUAAAAUCUCAAUUCAAGCAUCUUGUUCUUUUUACUUCCAU